rnacentral:rRNA from 1 species
ACUCAAAUGAAUAGACGGGGGCUCACACAAGCGGUGGAGGAUGUGGUUUAAUUCGAAGCAACGCGAAGAACCUUACCAGGUCUUGACAUACCGGGAUUAGUUCCGUGAAAGCGGGAUGAUUGCCCUCAAGGUGUAACCGGAACAGGUGCUGCAUGGCUGUCGUCAGCUCGUGCCGUGAGGUGUUAGGUUAAGUCCUUUAACGAGCGAAACCCCUACGGUCAGUUACCAGCGCGUCAUGGCGGGGACUCUGGCCGGACUGCCGCGCAAGUAGGAGGAAGGUGGGGACGACGUCAAGUCAUCAUGGCCUUUAUGACCUGGGCCACACACGUCCUACAAUGGGCGGUACAGCGGGUAGCGACAUCGCAAGGUGUAGCCAAUCCCACAAAGCCGCCCUCAGUUCAGAUUGUGGGCUGCAAUUCGCCCACAUGAAGCCGGAAUCGCUAGUAAUCGCGGAUCAGCCACGCCGCGGUGAAUAUGUUCCUGAGCCUUGUACACACCGCCCGU